GUUGUAUAGUCAAGUAAUUAAGUGCAUGUGGUGGAUGCCUUGGCAGUCAGAGGCGAUGAAAGACGUGAUAGCCUGCGAAAAGCUCCGGGGAGGCGGCAAAUAUCCUUUGAUCCGGAGAUGUCAUUCAGGGGGAACCCACCUACUUUAAGGUAGGUAUUGCAACAUGAAUACAUAGUGUUGCAAGGCGAACGAGGGGAAGUGAAACAUCUCAGUACCCUUAGGAAAAGAAAUCAAUUGAGAUUCCCUCAGUAGCGGCGAGCGAACGGGGAUCAGCCCAUUAAGUUAUGUGUGUUUUAGUGGAACGCUCUGGGAAGUGCGAACGUAGAGGGUGAUAUUCCCGUACACGAAAGGGCACACAUAAUGAUGACGAGUAGGGCGAGGCACGUGAAACCUUGUCUGAAUAUGGGGGGACCAUCCUCCAAGGCUAAAUACUCCUGACUGACCGAUAGUGAACCAGUACCGUGAGGGAAAGGCGAAAAGAACCCCUGUGAGGGGAGUGAAAUAGAUCCUGAAACCGCAUGCAUACAAGCAGUGGGAGCACCUUCGUGGUGUGACUGCGUACCUUUUGUAUAAUGGGUCAGCGACUUAUAUUCAGUAGCGAGGUUAACCGUAUAGGGGAGCCGUAGAGAAAUCGAGUCUUAAUAGGGCGUUUAGUUGCUGGGUAUAGACCCGAAACCAGGCGAUCUAUCCAUGAGCAGGUUGAAGGUUGGGUAACACUAACUGGAGGACCGAACCCACUGUCGUUGAAAAGCCAGGGGAUGACUUGUGGAUAGGGGUGAAAGGCUAAUCAAGCCUGGUGAUAGCUGGUUCUCCCCGAAAGCUAUUUAGGUAGCGCCUCGGACGAAUACCAUAGGGGGUAGAGCACUGUUUCGGCUAGGGGGUCAUCCCGACUUACCAAACCGAUGCAAACUCCGAAUACCUAUGAGUACUAUCCGGGAGACAGACUGCGGGUGCUAACGUCCGUAGUCAAGAGGAAAACAAUCCAGACCGCCAGCUAAGGCCCCAAAAUCAUAGUUAAGUGGGAAACGAUGUGGGAAGGCAUAGACAGCUAGGAGGUUGGCUUAGAAGCAGCCACCCUUUAAAGAAAGCGUAAUAGCUCACUAGUCGAGUCGGCCUGCGCGGAAGAUGUAACGGGGCUAAAACUAUGUGCCGAAGCUGCGGAUGUAUACUUUGUAUACGUGGUAGGGGAGCGUUCUGUAAGCCGAUGAAGGUGUGUUGAGAAGCAUGCUGGAGGUAUCAGAAGUGCGAAUGCUGACGUGAGUAACGACAAAACGGGUGAAAAACCCGUUCGCCGAAAGACCAAGGGUUCCAGUCCAACGUUAAUCGGGGCUGGGUGAGUCGACCCCUAAGGCGAGGCCGAAAGGCGUAGUCGAUGGGAAAAUGGUUAAUAUUCCAUUACUUCUGUGUAAUGCGAUGAGAGGACGGAGAAGGCUAAAUCAGCCUGGCGUUGGUUGUCCAGGUGAAAGGAUGUAGGCAUGUAUCUUAGGCAAAUCCGGGGUACUCUAUGCUGAGAUCUGAUAGCAAGCUGUACUUGUACAGCGAAGUGGUUGAUGCCAUGCUUCCAGGAAAAGUCUCUAAGCUUCAGUUACACAGGAAUCGUACCCGAAACCGACACAGGUGGUCAGGUCGAGUAGACCAAGGCGCUUGAGAGAACUCUGCUGAAGGAACUAGGCAAAAUGGUACCGUAACUUCGGGAGAAGGUACGCUGUUGUUGGUGAUGGAACUCGCUUCCUGAGCUGACGACAGCCGCAGAAACCAGGCCGCUGCAACUGUUUAUUAAAAACAUAGCACUCUGCAAACACGAAAGUGGACGUAUAGGGUGUGAUGCCUGCCCGGUGCUGGAAGGUUAAUUGAUGGGGUUAGCGUAAGCGAAGCUCUUGAUCGAAGCCCCAGUAAACGGCGGCCGUAACUAUAACGGUCCUAAGGUAGCGAAAUUCCUUGUCGGGUAAGUUCCGACCUGCACGAAUGGCAUAAUGAUGGCGGCGCUGUCUCCAGCAGAGGCUCAGUGAAAUCGAAAUCGCUGUGAAGAUGCAGUGUACCCGCGGCUAGACGGAAAGACCCCGUGAACCUUUACUGCAGCUUGACACUGAACUUUGACCUUACUUGUGUAGGAUAGGUGGGAGGCUUUGAAGCUGGAACGCUAGUUCCAGUGGAGCCGUCCUUGAAAUACCACCCUGGUAAUGUUGAGGUUCUAACUCUGUCCCGUGAUCCGGGACGAGGACCGUGUCUGGUGGGUAGUUUGACUGGGGCGGUCUCCUCCUAAAGAGUAACGGAGGAGUACGAAGGUGCGCUCAGCGUGGUCGGAAAUCACGCGUAGAGUAUAAAGGCAAAAGCGCGCUUAACUGCGAGACCCACAAGUCGAGCAGGUACGAAAGUAGGUCUUAGUGAUCCGGUGGUUCUGUAUGGAAGGGCCAUCGCUCAACGGAUAAAAGGUACUCUGGGGAUAACAGGCUGAUACCGCCCAAGAGUUCAUAUCGACGGCGGUGUUUGGCACCUCGAUGUCGGCUCAUCUCAUCCUGGGGCUGAAGCAGGUCCCAAGGGUAUGGCUGUUCGCCAUUUAAAGAGGUACGCGAGCUGGGUUUAGAACGUCGUGAGACAGUUCGGUCCCUAUCUACCGUGGGCGCUGGAAAUUUGAGAGGAUCUGCUCCUAGUACGAGAGGACCAGAGUGGACGAACCUCUGGUGUACCGGUUGUGACGCCAGUCGCAUCGCCGGGUAGCUAUGUUCGGAAGGGAUAACCGCUGAAAGCAUCUAAGCGGGAAGCCUACCUCAAGAUAAGAUUUCCCUAGGACUUUAUGUCCUCUAAAGAGCCGUUCGAGACUAGGACGUUGAUAGGUUGGAUGUGGAAGCAUAGUGAUAUGUGAAGCUGACCAAUACUAAUUGCUCGUGAGGCUUGACUAUACAACACCCAAGCAGUUG
rnacentral:rRNA from 1 species